GACGAACCGUGCGAACGUUAUUCGGAAUCACUGGGCUUAAAGCGCGUGUAGGCGGGUCGGCGCGUCGGACGCUGAAAUCCCCCGGCUCAACCGGGGAAGGGGCGCCGAUACGGCCGGCCUGGAGGGACGUAGGGGGGGCUGGAACUUCCGGUGGAGCGGUGAAAUGCGUUGAGAUCGGAAGGAACGCCCGUGGCGAAAGCGAGCCCCUGGACGUCUACUGACGCUGAGACGCGAAAGCCAGGGGAGCGAACGGG
rnacentral:rRNA from 1 species